CCUACGGGAGGCAGCAGUGAGGAAUAUUGGUCAAUGGGCGCGAGCCUGAACCAGCCAAGUCGCGUGAGGGAAGACGGUCCUAUGGAUUGUAAACCUCUUUUGUCGGGGAGCAAAAGACGCCACGCGUGGCGUUCCGAGAGUACCCGAAGAAAAAGCAUCGGCUAACUCCGUGCCAGCAGCCGCGGUAAUACGGAGGAUGCGAGCGUUAUCCGGAUUUAUUGGGUUUAAAGGGUGCGCAGGCGGAAGAUCAAGGCAGCGGUAAAAUUGAGAGGCUCAACCUCUUCGAGCCGUUGAAACUGGUGUUCUUGAGUGAGUGAGAAGUAUGCGGAAUGCGUGGUGUAGCGGUGAAAUGCAUAGAUAUCACGCAGAACUCCGAUUGCGAAGGCAGCAUACCGGCGCUCAACUGACGCUCAUGCACGAAAGUGUGGGUAUCGAACAGGAUUAGAUACCCCAGUAGUC
rnacentral:rRNA from 1 species